rnacentral:tRNA from 2 species
GCCCGGGUGGUGGAAUGGUAUACACGCAAGACUUAAAAUCUUGUGAGCGUAAGCUCGUGUGGGUUCGAGUCCCACCCCGGGCACAA